GACGAACGCUGGCGGCGUGCUUAACACAUGCAAGUCGAACGGAAAGGCCCUGCUUUUGUGGGGUGCUCGAGUGGCGAACGGGUGAGUAACACGUGAGUAACCUGCCCUUGACUUUGGGAUAACUUCAGGAAACUGGGGCUAAUACCGUAUAGGAGCUCCUGCUGCAUUGUGGGGGGUGGAAAUUUUAGGCGGUUGGGGAUGGACUCGCGGCUUAUCGGCUUGUUGGUUGGGUAGUGGCUUACCAAGGCUUUGACGGGUAGCCGGCCUGAGAGGGUGGCCGGCCACAUUGGGCCUGAGAUACGGCCCAGACGCCUACGGGAGGCAGCAGUGGGGAAUAUUGCACAAUGGGCGGAAGCCUGAUGAAGCAACGCCGCGUGCGGGAUGACGGCCUUCGGGUUGUAAACCGCUUUCGCCUGUGACGAAGCGUGAGUGACGGUAAUGGGUAAAGAAGCACCGGCUAACUACGUG
rnacentral:rRNA from 1 species